GGGCCAAAUCCACCAACAGAGUCGUUUUUUUCUUUUUCAAUAUUUCUUAUGAGAACUUAACGACUCUCCACUGCCACAGAUGUACAAGGAAAGUUCUCUAUGGAGAGAAGGCAUCAGGAAGUAGUUUGUAAUUCUCACAUCAAAUAAAAGACUUAAUUGUUUUUGACAAAUAAAGGUUUCAUUGUUGAUGAGACACUUAUUAGACAAAAAUAUCCACCAUCACGGGGAUGAAUUGAUAACGAACAUUGAAAUUUAAGCAACUCGCGUUACAACUGCAUGUAUUGCAUCGGCCAGAUGUGGGACUGUUUUGGAGCUCAAACCAGCCAUGCUAAUCCUCCUGCACAAUAAUAAAUGAAUGUCUCGAGUUAUGUGGAAUUUCAGCCUAAAUGAAUGGUUACACAUCAGGGUUAUCGGAAACAUAUAUAUCCAUGCUGUAGGUAGAGAUUAACAGCAAGAGACAGCAGAAGCAAAUAGUUACUGAGACAGCAUCAUUUCUCAUAGUCCUUAAAAAAAUGUACAACAUUGCUGGUCAAACACAAGUUACUCACAAAUAUUAAAUAUAAGGUGUGUGCAAAAGAAUGCAACUCAAACUAAAAAGUAACUAAAUACCACAUCAAACAGUACUUGUUUUCAAAAAUCUUUGGUUCAAGAGUUUGUUUAUAAGAAUUUGUCGUUUUUUAAAUGAACUGUAAGAAUUUAUUUAGACUUCAAAAACUAGUCUUGAUAAUAAAUUCUUGUUAUAAAAAAUGAGCAUAAUGCAGAAAACACAAACAUAUAUGUAUGAUGACUUGAUUCAGAGAAUAAUGGAUUCUAAAAUUUAACCCCCAACAUGUUGCACAUUGCAACUUCAUAUUUAUGAACAGCAAAAGAAAUUGGACAGCAGCACAGUACGCAAGUUAUAGGCACCAUGUUCACACUUAACUGGAACAUAAAGAAACAAAAGAGAAUGUGCAUCCUACUCGUCUGAACUAAUUGAAUAAGUCAGAAAUAAAAUUGUCUUACCCAUCAGAUGUCAGGUAUAUAUGGUACUCUUUAGUCAAGAUGGAAACUUGCUCAGGAUUCAAUCCUGUGAAAGUAAACAUUCCAAUUUGCUUGAUAAUGUGACUCCAAUCACCUGGUGUACCUAUUCAAUUGCAGGAGAAAUAAGUACAACUCAAAUAAAUGUUAACAAGAACUUCUCGCAUGAUAAAGAACCAUACAGAAAGGACAAGCCAAAGGAAUCGCAAAAGAUUCUUUGUAGAGACCAACCUCUAGCACGUAAAGCAUCAAAAAGUUGUUGGCGCAUAUUGAUAAUGCGAUCAGCCAUUGCCUUCAACUCAAUAGUCCAGUCAUUGUACAAAUCCCUGAAAGAGGAGCAAAACAGGUAAGAAUACAUAUGUCUAAGUCCAGCCAAGGGAGGCAGAAGUAUAUUGUCUCACUACCUGUCCUUGAGAAUGGCAGCCACAAUGGAUGCACCAUGAAUAGGAGGACUUGAGUACAUGGGCCUAAUCACAAGUUUCAGUUGGCUCUCAACCCUGCUUGAAACAUCAGCUGACUUGCUGACCUGGGGAGCAGUUGUUGUAGAAAAUGAAAAUCAGGGAAACUCUUCAAAAACACAUGUUACUUGUGGCUACGCUUCUUUAUAUAGAAAAAUCUAAAUUUAUCAAUCACAUUAUUUGUGCUAAAAAGAUAACAUGAUUCAAAUCAUAAGCAGGGAAAAAAUAAUAUUGAAUGGGGCGAAAUACAAGGCCAGCUCACUAAUUACUACUGAUGAAACCCAUAAAAUUGUCUCCAUUUAAUGUUUUGAAAUGCUUACAAUGCUCAAGGCACCAACACGUUCACCAUAAAGACCCAUGUUCUUCGCAUAACUCUGGGCUACCAGCAAUUCUCCACCAUCAGCAACAAACAAACGAACAGGCUGUGCAUCUGCAUCUAGACUUCCACUGGCAAAACCCUGUUGAACAAAAAUAGAUAUAGCUUAAAAAGAGUUUUCAAUAAAAGAAUAUGCAUUGGAGACAUGGUAGAAGUAUAUUCUUGUGUGGACAUUAUUCACCAUAGAUUAUUCCAAGAAAUGGGAAGCUUCAAGAUUCAAGAGAUUAGAAAUGGUUGGAUUUGUGAUUUUGAAGUAAAUAUUUGUAGAUUAUGUCCACAAACAAGUUUCUCAAUGGUAGAAAACAAAAGGCACGAUGUUGGUUGAAUGCAAAAUGCUUGCCUGAUAAGCACUGUCAAAGAAAGGUAACAAAGAUUUUGAUCUUAUCAGAUGUCUAAUCUGCUCCCAUUGUUCAAGCGUUGGAUCAACACCAGUAGGGUUAUGUGCACAUGCAUGUAGCAAAACAACAGAUCCAGAUGGGGCAGAACCAAGAUCCUCAAGAAGUCCUAUAAGGAACAAGGAUGGGGAAAUAACAUUAAAUAAAAUCCAAUUAUGUUAUGGAGUAUUGAUCAUGAUGCAUAUUGUGACACGCGAAUGUUGAUACAAAUGCGAAAAUAAGGAAUGAACAUUUCACAGCUUGAUAGAAUAGUUUCUAACCUUGAAAGUCAAGCCCUCGUGUUGCUGGAGCAUAGUAGCGAUAUGUUUUGACAGUUAAACCUGCCAAGUUGAAAACCUUUGUAUGAUUGCCCCAAGUAGGUGUUGGCAAGUAUAUAAUGCGCUGAAAAGAUCAAGGCAAACAAACACGGUAAGCCCAACGAUAUACAGCAAUAUUGGUUAAAAAAAUAUAAAGGGGAGAAAAAUUUAAGGAUAGAUCACUUUACUUGAUGAUAGUGUUUAGCCAGAAAUUCACCCCCAACUCUUAGCGAACCAGUACCAGAUAAACCUUGAACAGUGGUAACCCUGUUCUCUUGAAUAGCAGGGCUAUAUUCAAAAAAGUUGGCAAGAGAACAGUUAGGAACUGACUGAUAAGAAUAUUUAUCUGCAAACAAGAAAUUAUUGAUUGAACAAGAAAAGUUAAUAUAACAACAUCAAGUUUCAAUUAUUAACCUGUCUGCACCAAAAAUAAGCUUAGCACUCAAUUUGUUGAAAUCAGCGAGCCCAACAAUUGGAAUAUACUCCUUGUUGCGUGACCUAAAUACAAUGCAGAACAGAAAUUUAUAUAAAGACCGAAAGAAAAAAAUUAUCUUUACAAAUGAGCAAAAAGAAAGUAUAGUGAAUCAAGUACUAACAUGUCAUUCAAUAGUUGGCGUUCAACUCGCCUCACAACAUCCAACACAAGGGGCUUACCUUCCUGGUAAGUAUCACAGGCCAUUAGUAAAAGUCACAAGUCACAAUAAGUAAGUAUAAUUUCAAAGCUUAUCUUGACACUUUAAUUGAAGCUUUCAUUGUUCAUUACCUUAUCGAUCUAUCAUUCCUUAAUAUGCAUUUUCAAUGACCAAAUUAUGCAAAAGAUGAUUAUGCAGUAUAGGUCUGUUUGGAAUGACUUAUUUGAGUUUAUCUCCUAACAUAAGAUUUGUGAUAUUGUUUGACAAGCUUAUAAAAACAGCUUACAACACUAGCUCAUAAAUUGUUCUCAGCUUAUUUUCAUAAGUUCUCCAAAAUAGUUUAUGAGAAAACAAUAUAACUUUUUCUUUACUAUCAAAUGGCUUAUACAAAAACGCUGUAAUCAUUUCUGCUAUAAGCUGCAAAUAAGUUGUAUAUCCAAAUAAUGCCUAUAUAUUUCAGAAUGAAGACGUGUUAAACUCCAACACUGACACAUGUGAUUUGCAUUCAAUCACUUCAAUUUUUUAAAUUAUUAUACAUUAGUGUCGUGUCCGAUGUCCAUAUAGAUUAUGUAUCUCAAAUAAAUAAGAUUCUAACCUCAGUUCGGUAAGCACCAACACCCAAGUUGAGCUUAAUUGGGCUUGGAUCCUUGUUGUAAGCGACAGUUACCUAUUUUUCAAACACAGACACAAGAAAUAGACAAAAAAAUAAAAAAUAAAAACAGAGGUAAGAUAACAGAGCAAUCAUCAAUAACAAAAUUUUGGAAUGAAAUUAAAUUUAUGUCACUAUCAAAGUUGCGUAAGCUUCACAAGUCACAACACAAGAAAACAAUUGACAUCAGCAUCAGAACCGUAUCGCUUUGAAAUUCAUUCAUGCGUAAAUUACAAUCAAAAUUGCAUAAUAAUCUAUCAAAUAAAUAAAAAUAACUGAAAUGAAUUAAUAAAUUGAAAUUGUGCAGUUAAGAUCACAGACGAUCUUAAUAUGAUCACGAAAUUGGAUCAAAUAAAAAAAGGUAAAUGAAUAGUGAUCUGAUGAUCGAAGAGAAAGAGAAGAAAACAUACACCGAGGAUAGGAUCUUCAGGAGCACGAACGAGAUGAGCGAAGACGGAAUCAGAAGAAGCGGUUGGAGAAGGAGUGAUGUUUUGAGAAGCCAUUUGAUUUUGAUCGUUAACGUCGAGAAAGUGUUUUGCAAUAGUGUCUAGCCUGCGAUCAGAUGAAGAAGAAUAAGAAGAAGAAAAAGUGGUGGUUGAUUCGAGAAUAAUCGGUGGGCGCAUGCUGUUUGAUGUAUAUAUUCUAUGUAUUAUUUCCUUGGUUUUGGUUCCUAUUUAAAUUUAAUUUAAACUACCAAAAAAUAUGUAGAAAGGUAUACUCUCGUGAACUUUAUGCGGUUUGUAACAAGAAACUUUAUGCUGUUGUUGAAAACUCUAUAUAUGGAGUAAUGAAUUUGUUUGGUUGUGGUUGUACAA
rnacentral:lncRNA from 1 species